CGGGGUGUGGCUCAGCUUGGUAGAGCGCUUGACUGGGGGUCAAGAGGCCGCAGGUUCAAAUCCUGUCACUCCGACCA
rnacentral:tRNA from 1 species